UCUAAUAUGGCAGAAUAGUGCAAUGAACUUAAACUUCAACUAUAAAGAUUUCUUUUUUUAGAA
rnacentral:tRNA from 1 species